rnacentral:rRNA from 1 species
UACGUAGGUGACAAGCGUUGUCCGGAUUUACUGGGCGUAAAGAGCUCGUAGGCGGUCUGUCGCGUCUGCUGUGAAAAAUCCAGGGCUCAACCCUGGACCUGCAGUGGGUACGGGCAGACUAGAGUGUUGCAGGGGAGACUGGAAUUCCUGGUGUAGCGGUGAAAUGCGCAGAUAUCAGGAGGAACACCGGUGGCGAAGGCGGGUCUCUGGGCCGAUACUGACGCUGAGGAGCGAAAGCGUGGGGAGCGAACAGG